rnacentral:rRNA from 1 species
AGGAUCAUUAUCGAAAUGCCCACCACAGAGCUGUCGCUGGNNUUUGGCUGUGCACGCUUUGUCGUUCUUCAUUUCUCCAUCUACUUUGUGCACUCGCUUGCCAUGGAUAUCAUUGUCUGAGGGGUUUCCUUGGAUCCAUUAGGACUGCUUUGCAAAAUUUGUGGGCUUUCCUUGUUAUUUCCAUGUCUUUCUUCACAUACCCCCAGUUGUAACCAAUUCUGAAGGAAAUAGAUGCAUAUAAUACAACUUUCAGCAACGGAUCUCUUGGCUCUCGCAUCGAUGAAGAACGCAGCGAAAUGCGAUAAGUAAUGUGAAUUGCAGAAUUCAGUGAAUCAUCGAAUCUUUGAACGCAUCUUGCGCUCCUCGGUAUUCCAAGGAGCAUGCCUGUUUGGGUGUCAUCAAUAUCUCAACUACACCAAUUUAUGAUUGGUGUGGCUUGGAUCUGGGGGUUUAUGCAGGCUCCAGCUUUGUGGUCUGCUCCCCUGAAAUGCAUGAGUGGUCGACCCUCUGUUAGGUGUGAUAAAUUAUCUGCAUCUGAUGGAAAGGUCAUGGCUGCCGUAUCUCAUUGGAGUUGAUAAACUUGACCUCAAAUCAGGUAGGACCACCCGCUGAACUUAAGCAUAUCAAUAAGCGGAGGAAAAGAAACUAACCAGGAUUCCCUUAGUAACUGCGAGUGAAGUGGGAAGAGCUCAAAUUUGU